rnacentral:misc_RNA from 1 species
UAAUUAGCUAGACUAUUUCGUAAUUAUCGCCUAUCCUCUAUUAUCGUUAAGUAAAUUAAUAUUUGGCCUAUAGACAUGUCUGAACACCAAAAUUUAUCCUCAGUAAUAAAAGAAACGCAUGCAAAAUUGAGAAAAAUGUUUAAUGAAAAAGAUAGUAAAAGUCAUGAACUAUUGUGGGCUGAACACUGCUCAAAAGAAGAAGUGCUUAAUGAAUACGCAACCGCUAUGAAAGACUUGGCUACUAAGCAUUGGUCAAAGUCACCGUAUACGCGUAUUAAUUGGUGUAUUGACAAAAUGAAAGAGUACUUUUUUGAAGGUGGCCUUGAGAAACUGCGAAUGAAAGAUGAGAGAAGAUUAAAACAUCACGGCAUGACCCAAGACAAUGAAAAUAUCCUUAUAGAAAAUUGCUUGAAACUACCACUGGAAGAAAAAGUACGGUUACUGGAUGUCGGAAGUUGCUAUAAUCCAUUUGAGAGUUACAAUUUUGUUAACUGCCUCCCAAUAGACCUAUGCCCAGCAUCGCCGACAGUACGACGUUGUGAUUUCCUUCAAGUUCCAAUUUCUGAAGGAUUAACUGAAUAUGAGGAUACUAUAAGUUGUUUAUGCAAAGAGAAUUUCGACGUCGUGGUAUUUUCAUUACUUUUAGAAUAUUUUCCAAGUUCCGAACAGCGUCACAUUUGCUGCGAAAAAGCAUACGAAGUAUUAAAAGGAGAUGGCUUAUUGGUUAUUAUUACUCCCGAUUCAAGCCAUCAGAAUAAGAAUAUGAAUAUGAUAAAAUCUUGGAAAUUAGCUAUGGAAAAUCUAGGAUUCACUAGAUGGCGUUAUGAAAAAUUGCAACAUUUGCAUUGUAUGGCUUAUCGUAAAUUUGGGAAGAAACGAGUCUUCUCAGAUAAUUACAAACUCUUGUUUAUUCCUCAAGAUUCCAGAAAAGAAGAACUUUCAAACAGUAAACCAAAUUUAUCACUGGCUAUUUCAACGGGAUAGGAAUUAGACGGCACUUGAUCCCAAACGUCCACCAGACGUCUCCAGCGAACGAAUUUUUUUUGGCUGGUAAAUGAACUUAAUCAAUGAACGACAGACUGUAGAAGAUUUCGGAUGCGUCUGGUAUCGGAACUUCGCUCUAAAACAGAAGUUCGUCGUUCAAAACUACGAUGGUGCUUAACUCUCCUCCUAGCAGUAAUAGUUUGCGAGACUAUUAUUGUUCUUCUUACUGUUUGUCGGACCUACAUAGCUAAAAAGAACAGGAAAGGAAUAAAGCGUGAACAAGUCGAGAGCAUAACCAUAAUUCGACAGUCUUUUGACAGUCCUGAUAUGAAAAGUUUUAUGAACCAAUUGGAAACAGACUGCCGUUUAAUGACGGAGAAUGAGAGCAAAAAUCAUUGCAAAUGUUUUUCUUCGGACCUAGGUUUGUAACUAUAAAGUCAAUCAACUAUCUAUUGUUAUAGAUCAGUGCAUGAUAACUUUUUGGAUAAAAAAAAAUUGAAUAAUUUCUUAUAUGGAAAAAAAGCGGAUAAUAAUACAGGGGAUAGUAUUAAGAGAUAGAGAUUUACGUUUGUCUUGUAGAAAGUAAUCAUAAUAACAAAAAGAAAUUUUGACCUUCUUUUCCGACUCUCGUACAUAAAUAGCCUAUCGCAAAAAAAAAUCGGUUCCCAUAGAAACCUGCCGGCCAUCAAUCUAAUCCCGAGAUAUUUCAUCCAAAACAGUAGGCAGAAUUGGAAUACGCCUUCGAAACAUACCGGAGAUUGGUGAAAUGGAGCUACAACACAACGAACUGGGCGCUGGGGGAACGUGGGGUCCUAAUAUUUGCCAGGCUCGUUUCAGAAUCGCCAUAAUUGUACCUUUCAGGGAUAGAGCGGAACAUUUGAAAGUAUUUCUCAAUCACAUGCAUCCUUUCCUUCAACGACAAAAAUUUUAUUAUCGAAUAAUCGUCGUAGAACAAGAAGGUUAUGGAAUUUUCAAUAAAGCGUCUAUGAUGAAUAUUGGUUUUAAGGAGGCAUUACGGAUGGGAAAAUUUGACUGUUUCAUAUUCCAUGAUGUCGAUAUGCUGCCUGAGGAUGACAGAAACUUAUACAUUUGCUCCUCAGCACCUCGUCACGUAGGAAGUCACGUGGAUAAGUGGAAUUACACGUAAGUUCAUUGAUGUAUAAUUAUACAGUGAGUAGAUUUAGAGGCAAUGAAUUGUCUAAUUACCAUGCGUAAAGUCAUUAUUUCGAGGAAAAACGUCGAGUAGCGAUAAUAAAACUCUACGUUUGCGUCUUCUUUUGCAAUAAAGGGUUAAUAAAACGCUUUAAAUAAGUCAACUGCUGUCUAAUAUGAGAAUUUAUAGUGAAUGAAAGUCGAAAUUAUCUUAUGUAGACUUCAUUACAGAGAAAUAAACUUCUGUUUAGAAAGUUUUAUACGAAAUCUUUACAUUUAUUUUUUGGGCAAAGAUUAUAUUUGUAUGGCGUCUAUUUGGGGAAGAAAAACGUGACAUAUAAUUCGGAUUUCAUGAAUCAUAUAGCUUCGGUUACCGAAUAUAAUGCCCAUCGGAAUUUUGUAGGCCUCAUUUUUUUUGCAAUCUGAGGAGCCAAGAAAAUUUCGCUUCCUCGUUUUAUUCAGGCGAAAAAGUAAGGU